UAGGGAAUCUUCCGCAAUGGACGCAAGUCUGACGGAGCAACGCCGCGUGAGUGAAGAAGGAUUUCGGUUCGUAAAACUCUGUUGUUAGAGAAGAACAGCGCAUAGAGUAACUGUUAUGCGUGUGACGGUAUCUAACCAGAAAGCCACGGCUAACUACGUGCCAGCAGCCGCGGUAAUACGUAGGUGGCAAGCGUUGUCCGGAUUUAUUGGGCGUAAAGCGAGCGCAGGCGGUCAAUUAAGUCUGAUGUGAAAGCCCCCGGCUCAACCGGGGAGGGUCAUUGGAAACUGGUUGGCUUGAGUGCAGAAGAGGAGGGUGGAAUUCCAUGUGUGACGGUGAAAUGCGUAGAUAUAUGGAGGAACACCAGUGGCGAAGGCGACUCUCUGGUCUGUAACUGACGCGGAGGCUAGAAAGCGUGGGUAGCAAACAGG
rnacentral:rRNA from 1 species